GAUGAACGCUAGCUACAGGCUUAACACAUGCAAGUCGAGGGGUAACAAGAGGAAAGCUUGCUUUCCUUGUUGACGAACGGCGCACGGGUGAGUAACGCGUAUCCAACCUGCCUACAACUAGGGAAUAACCUUGCGAAAGUAAGACUAAUACCCUAUGAUUUCCUUUGAUGACAUCAGAUUAGGAAUAAAGAUUUAUCGGUUAUAGAUGGGGAUGCGUCGGAUUAGCUUGUUGGCGGGAUAACGGCCCACCAAGGCAACGAUCAGUAGGGGUUCUGAGAGGAAGGUCCCCCACAUUGGAACUGAGACACGGUCCAAACUCCUACGGGAGGCAGCAGUGAGGAAUAUUGGUCAAUGGGCGGAAGCCUGAACCAGCCAAGUAGCGUGCAGGAUGACGGCCCUAUGGGUUGUAAAUUGCUUUUAUACAGGAAUAAAGUUAGCCACGUGUGGUUAUUUGUAGGUACUGUAUGAAUAAGGACCGGCUAAUUCCGUGCCAGCAGCCGCGGUAACAC
rnacentral:rRNA from 1 species